CCAAUAAAACUUUAAGCAAUAGCAGUCAGUCUGAGUUAGAAAAUCGACUCCAUCAGCUAACAGAGACUCUCAUCCAGAAACAGACCAUGCUGGAGAGUCUCAGCACAGAAAAGAACUCCCUGGUCUUUCAACUGGAGCGCCUCGAACAGCAGAUGAACUCCGCCUCUGGAAGUAGUAGUAAUGGGUCUUCGAUUAAUAUGUCUGGAAUUGACAAUGGUGAAGGCACUCGUCUGCGAAAUGUUCCUGUUCUUUUUAAUGACACAGAAACUAAUCUGGCAGGAAUGUACGGAAAAGUUCGCAAAGCUGCUAGUUCAAUUGAUCAGUUUAGGCUUUGCUUCACCUCUGGGUCAUGAUUGUUCUGUUGACUUACACACCAGAAAUGCACCACGACCAACCAUAUGGCAAAUGAACCAAGCCCAGUUGUUGCAGUGAUUGGUUGUCUUUUUCUAGACUUGGGAUCUGCAAGAAGGCCAAUUGCCUAAAAUUUCUGAGAACAGUGCACAAGAUUAUUUUAUCACUACAAGCUUUUAACUUUUUAAGUUAUUGUACAAGUAUUCUACCUAAAUCUUCCAAUUUCCUUUAAAUGGUAAGAGUUUCUAAAACAGACAAUAAUUUAACAAGCUCAGCUCUGCUUUAUCUGAGUUUAGUGGUCCUAAUAUAUAUGUAGAGAAAGAUGGUGGGGUUGUUCACCUCUGUACAGACCAUCUGUAUGUUAGGUGACAUUGAUUAUGGGUUAUAAUCAGGGAAACUAAUUGUAUU
rnacentral:lncRNA from 1 species